AUUGAACGCUGGCGGCAGGCCUAACACAUGCAAGUCGAACGAGUGGCGGACGGGUGAGUAAUGUCUGGGAACCUGCCUGAUGGAGGGGGAUAACUACUGGAAACGGUAGCUAAUACCGCAUACCAUCGGAUGUGCCCAGAUGGGAUUUGCUAGUAGGGGGGGUAAGGGCUCACCUAGGCGACGAUCCCUAGCUGGUCUGAGAGGAUGACCAGCCACACUGGAACUGAGACACGGUCCAGACUCCUACGGGAGGCAGCAGUGGGGAAUAUGGCACAAUGGGCGCAAGCCUGAUGCAGCCAUGCCGCGUGUAUGAAGAAGGCCUUCGGGUUGUAAAGUACUUUCAGCGGGGAGGCUUUACACGCAGAAGAAGCACCGGCUAACUCCGUGCCAGCAGCCGCGGUAAUUC
rnacentral:rRNA from 1 species